AAAUUUGCAGUGUCAAAAGUAGUAAGACGAAUAUAUUUACUCCAUUUCAAAAUUAGCCAUACAUUUGUAAAAUUAAUAUUUGCAAGUAUAACUUUAUUUUUCAAAACUUAUCCCUAGCAUUGGCUUAAAAAUGUAGCAGUGGCAUGUGAAGAACUUUAUGUUAAGUAAUAGCAUGUUAAGUACUGUCUAACAAUAAAAAUGAAUCUCUAGUUUGGAACGGACAAAUAAGGGAAACGCAUCUCUAAAAUUUUUGGGACAGUUUUGAAGUUAUGAGUUGUAGCAGCAUUGUGGCUAUAUAUAAACAUCAACAAGUUCAUGUUUGUUAAUAAAAUGUUUUUGCAGAAGCCCCAAUUCCAGUCAAUGUGGUAUUAUCCAUCAGUCACUCCGUGUUUGUGAAGGGAGAUCAUACAAACUUCGAGAUCGAACCAUCAUUUGGAGUGGAGGCUUCUGCACUGUAUCCUGAUGUCAAAUACACCACUGUGGACGAGUACCUCAACCAAUUUGUCUGAAAAUAAAACCCCAAGGCUUGUUGUUAAGCAUUUUCUGCUAUCCUCUAUCUUAAAUAAUAAUAAUAAUAAUACGACAGUUAGCUGCGUGUAGUCUGUAAUUACUUUUAUGCGAAUUCAGGAAGUUUACUUGUUGGAGAUGGUAUUGUCUGUUAAUACUCUGGUUUUUGAAACAGGCAACUGUUUCUGCGAGAAAGGAUGAUUUCAUUUUACUUGCUCUAUAAUGUAUUUUGCUUAUUGAGAGAGUUAUUUAAGAAAUCUUCUGUUUCCUUGAUCAGUUUUAUUUUCAGUCUUUUACUGAAAAAUAGUGCAUUUGUGACAGAUUUCUUUAAUUGAUUUUUUUUUUCGUCAUUGAUUCCCAACAAGAAUAGAAGAGGACUCAACUGUUUAUGAAAACAGGUAAAACACCCACCAAAAAAAUACGACACAACUCUUUAUCCAAGUCUGAGCAUAAAACAUGGUUCGAAUAAAAAUAUGAGGAGAAUCUGAGUAAAGUUAUACUCGUUUAAUAUUCAAACUACUCGAAUUCACAAUUGUUAUUCGAUACACACUCAAUUGAUUCAAUUAGAUACUCGAUACAUUCUCUUAUAAUAUAUAUAAAAUUAAAUCAAAUUAAGUUAUUUAAUUAUUAUUGUUUUGUUUUAUUUUUAUUUUUAAUUGUGAUUUUAUAUUUGAAGUGUAAUAGUAACUAUAUUUUCUCAUUUCAAAGUAAAACAACAAAUUCAAUUUAUAAUUAUAUUUAUUAUGAAGCUAGUUAUUACGUGGAGACUCGAAUUCGAGCUUGAAUUUGAAGCUCGCGAGUAGUUUGAAUAUAAUUUGAUCCGAGUCAGAUCGAAUUCGAGAAAUAAAUAUUCGAGUCGAAUCUGAGUAGAAUUUUUCAAAUACAAUUCGAAUUUAAGUAUAAAUUUAAAGUUUUGAGUCAAAUUCGAAUAACUCUCUGUUCGAUUCGGCUCGUUUAUCCCUUAAGUUUCAAUUCCAUUUUUAUGCUCGCUGUUCUUUUGUUUCCAGUUAUACCUUGGCUGAUACCUUGUUUGUAAGUUUUGGGGGGCAGCUGGGCAAGGAAUGCUAAAGUUUUGGGGUAACGAAUAAUAAGAAUUUUUAAACAAGGAAAUUAUGAAUAGGAAAGGAAGAAUAUUUUUUUCUUUUGUUGUGUUUGUAAGUUUACAAUGUUAGGGGCCUUAGGGGAAUUUAAGAAUAAAAAAGAAGUUUAUUAAACACAUUUUUCAAUGCUCAACUUUUUCGUGACUUAGGUACUGUUUAAUUACAUCUUAAUAUCUCUUAAAGUCUUAAUAGGUUUGCUGUGAUUCGGUCGGAAACAAAACCUAUUUGAUAAAAAAUUUAAUGCAUCUUAAUCUGUAACAAUUCUAAACCAUUUAAAGUCUCCUCUUACAGAGUUUCAUUUUCUUGGGAACCUCAGCUGUAUUACAAAAUCCGACUUUUGUCCACGAUACAAUCUGACUAUUGAUCUCUCACGUUUCAUUCACUUCGAUCCGCCGCUCCUGUAUGCUCCUUCCGCUGGUCAAUUAAAUCCUCGAUCUUUGUUCUUGCUGAAGCUACAGGUGCGAUUUCUUUGAAUCUAAAAUUUCUUUGACGCUGCAGGUGCGAUUUCUUUGUUUCUGAGUUUUGUGAUUUCGUUGAUCUAUUUGUUGUGUCUGCUUGAGAUUUUAUUUUUAAUGCGGUAUAUUUUGCUCUUCCCCAUUAAAAAAAAGCUUUUUGUGUUGGUUUAUUUUUGUUAUUGGUUCUACUUCUUGAUUUUCUUGCCUUGAAUCUGUGAUUAAUGUGUGUUUUUGAAUACAUUGUGAACUGGGAGUGUGCUGUUGAUGAUGGAUACACUAUGAUAACAAACAUGAAUGCUUUAGGUGAUUUUCGAAAACAUUGAGUUUAGUAAUAUUGCUUAGUGCUUACACUACUUUUUUUUCCUAUGAAAAAUCUACCCAAACCCAUUUAAUGGGUGUUGAUAUGGAUGGACUGCCCGUUGGAUUUGAACUCAUAUUGUCAAGUAAUGGAUUUGAACUCAUAUGACCAAGUCUAGUGCUGACAUAUUAGUAUAUUACACUACAAAAUUUCAUGUGCAACAUCAAAUAGUAGCUACAAAUGACUACUAUGUGAUCCUCCAUAUACUCUGGCUAUAUCUUGUUGGUGAAGUCUAGAAGGCUCGGUUCCAUAGUUUUCUUUUGCACUGUAUGUAUUCAUUUUGAAACUGGAAGCUCUUUUCAAGAUCAUCUCCUAAAAUCGCUUAGUUUAUGUUCCAAAAGACCUCCCUGUAAGCAUUGCACAGUUGUUUCUUCUGAAUACCUGUGGGCUCUGGGCCAAACCUGUUAUUUCCACCGUUCCUCUUCUCACCAGAGGUUCCAGACAUACCACAAAUAACAACAACUAAAAGGAUCUUCAAGGCACCUUGACAAGAUAAUGACAAUUUCAUGUCAGCAAGGUUUGAGAGAUACAAUUGGCAGUCCUUCAUACAUAGCUAUAUAAGUAUAAUAUCCAUUUGAGCACCAAAUAGAGCUUUUACUGGAGCUGUAAUAUCAAUUGGAGCAACUUAUAACAACUUUUUCCACCCAUAUUGGGACCAAUAUGAUUUGACAGUAGUCGCUUUUUGUAUGCAAAUUUGUAUCAUUUGGCACAAAGUUAUCUUGUAAUAUAGUCUCAACUCUCAAGAAUCUGUUCAAUUGUUUAAACUUUAAGGUGAUUUUCGAAAACAUUGAGUUUAGUAAUAUUGCUUAGUGCUUACACUCUUUUACAGUAGGAUGCAGAUAAAGACAAACUUUUGUAUAACUUUUGUUUGUCAAAACUCUAUUGUAAUGCAAACAUGAAGUAUUUGGUGAUCAAUUUUAAAAUUGCCACAGGUUACUUGACAUUACAAUAAUUACAUGAUUGUGUUUAGUGCUUAGUGUUUAGCAUAUCAUUGCUUUUAACAGCUAAUCUUAUUUUCCGAGUUGAAGAUCAACAAGCUUUCUUCUAUUUGUGUAUUCUAUUUGCUUAAAUUUAUCAACAGCUGAUCUUAUUUAUUAUAUUUGCUUAAAUUUAUCAUUAUCAACGUCCGUCUCAAAUAAUUUAUCAUUAUGCGGCAAAUAAUAAUUACAACAUCCACCUUUCACUUGCAUGAAUGCACAAUAUUGACUUCACUUGCAUGAAAAUUUCAAAAUAGACUCUCUUAACAAUGCACUAUUCUAUUUAUUAUUGUAUUUUCUUCAAAUAUUUAUUGUAGUCUAUAAAGUCUAAUUUGUUCAAACUAUUUAAAUGUUUGUUCUUUAUUGUUUACAUCUUUUAUAAUUUAUGUACUUUAGGUAUGGAACAAGCCAGUGAAACUAAAAAACAAAAAGGACUAGAGUGAGUUGGAGGAAUGAAACAUUAGUGAAGACUUUUUUAGAAGCAUGUAUUCGUGAGGUUGUGGAAAAUGGUAAGGAAAGUGCCAGCCUCAAGCCACAAUCAUGGAGAAGGGUAGGAGAAAUAUUAAAAGAUUCCUACAACUUGAUUGUGGAUCAAAAACAAAUGAAGAAUCAUUAUGACUACUUGCGAGGAAAAUAUUGUGCAUGGUGAAAACAUAAAAGUAAGACAGGAAAUGUGUAUGACCCGUCAACUAAUAGGUUCAACCUUUUAGAUGAGGAAUGUAUACAAGAGAUAAAUGUGUUCUUUUAAUUUUUUUACCUUUUAAGUUGAUUAGUAAUAAUGUUAAAAAUAUGUUAUAACAUGUUGAACUUACUAUUUGAAUACAUGCAAAUAAAAUGGUAGAAACUUUGAAGAUCUCGCCUCUAAUCUUCCCCGAUCUGUGUGUUGCAUUAUUUGAUGGAACCGCGGCAACGGGACAUGAUAGUUUGGGUCCUAGCUAUGGAAGAGUUAGGACUAAAAAUACAUCUUUGGACUUGGAGGUUGUUAGUCUUGAAGACAUUCCUUUUAACACACAAGGUCAAGGGUCAUCUAUGCUUGACAACACCAUUGUUUUGAAAAAAAUUCACGAAAAUUUUAGUAAUAAGUCAUCUUAAACUUCAAUGCUAAUUUAACCAUUAAGUUGGUGGAAUUUCACAUUGUUUCAACAUCAAAAGAAACAAGACUAUAACAAUCAGUUUUCUUCCUCUCCACACACUUUUUAAAAUUUCCUCAUUCAAGCGGAGAUGACAUCACAUAUUGAAUCACAUUUCAAAAUUUUAAGUAAGAUUGUGUUUACUCUUGUAAACAAUCUUUUACAACAAGAUUCAAACUGUGAGCACGUCUCAUGUGUAGGAAAUAACAACUAAAUCUUUUUGCUUCCCCAAUCCUUAUUCUCCUUUUCAAAUAACUAAUGACACUAUCAUUGGAGCUUGAAUUGUCAUUCGUUAUUGUCAUCAAUGCCCCAAUCUAGCAAGCAUGUUUCCGCGAACUUACCAAUUGUUUCCCCUUUGUGUUCAAGAGCUUGGAAAAGAUUUUUAAUUCUUUUUUGUAUUUUCCAAUCCGCGCCAAUCCAAUAGAAUGCAACACACGUAUAGCUUCCAAGUAACAAUUGUAGGCACACACGUUGCAAGUUUAAAUUUCGUUUUUAAAGUUUCCCUUCUCUUUCGACAUAAAUUUGCAUAACAUCUGUCACAACAGUCAUACGAGAUGGCAUCGUAAACCUUGCUUCUAAUGAGCCUCUUAAAACCUUCUAAGUUCUAACUCCAUAAACCUAAAUGACAACUCGUCAAUUAUUAUCAUCUCCGCAUCCAUCAUUAUCUCGUUGGGGUCAUAACAAUUGCCCUCAAAUCACCUGUAAAACCCCAACUUUUUGAAUAAAGAUGAAUUUUCUAUAAAUAUUAUUUUUGAAUAUUAUGGAGUAAAUUUAAUAUAACACGCAGUUGGUGGAUCAGGACAAACUCAUCGUUGCUAUCAAAGAAGCUGGUAACGUCAAGGUAAUAUUAAUAUUAAUUACUAUUAUAAUUAUGAGAUAUUAUGUUGAUUAUUCAUUUCAUCUAGUAUUUAAAUUUUAAUUGUGUUGCAAUAAUAUCAUAUUCAAAUGUUAGUACGUUAGACUGUUACGUUACUGUGUGGAUUUAUGAAUCAUUAUUCUAAUUUUUACAUAUAAAUCAUAAAUAUGUCAUAAAUAUGGGAGUAUGAACUAUGAGAAAAAUGUCACUACAAGACAAUUAAUAUAGACUUUGGAUGCAUUUGGAACUGCUGGUGGAAUUUAGCAAACUUUGUACUUCACCCUAUCCAAAACAAAGUCUCUCAUUUGCCCAUGAAGCCUAGGUUUUUCUAGAAGCAAGAUGAUAGAUCUAAAUUUCCGGGGACCAUUUAGGCACAUUGUAACUUUUUGGAAAGUGAUUUCAUAAAUUGGAUCAGAUUUUUCAUUUUUUUCUUCUGCAAUACCUCUUGCUCACUAAAUUUUGAAUAAGGCGAUAGAAGUGAAGAAGGUAGUGCAUGCAGGGUAUUAGGUUCUGUCUUUUAGUUCAUUCUAUUUAAGAGUUCAAUUAAUUGUGCAGUCCUAUAUUCAGACACCUGCCUUCUUGAUGUUGAUACAAUAGUUUACUUGCAAUAAUCUGAUUAUGAAUAUUUCGAUAAAUGAUAUUGAACUUGACUGAAAAUGCGGAACAUUGUAUAGAGAUUCUUUCCCUCCGAGUUUGGAAACGAUGUGGAUCACGUCCAUGCUGUUGAGCCAGCAAAGUCGGCAUUUGCUAUCAAGGCUCAAAUCCGCCGUGCUGUUGAGACUGCUGGAAUUCCCUAUACCUAUGUGUCUUCCAACUUUUUUACUGGCUCUGUCCUUCCAAAUUUGUCCCAGACAGGGGCUACAGCACCCCCCAGAGAUAAAGUUGUUAUAUUGGGGGAUGGGAAUCCAAAAGGUAAAUCAAUUUUUAUAUAUUUGCUUGCUUCUAGGUGAAAUUUGAGAAUGCUGAUAAAUUGCAUUUGCAUGUAACAUUUGGGCUUGUGAGAAUGUUGUUAUGUUGUACACAUUCCAUUCUUGUUCUGUGAUUGACCAGUGUAUGUCUCUUCAUAAAGAAAUGAGCAUAUAAGAGAUCUAAUGAUUUUUGCAUUGCUAAGAGAUUGAAGAUAUCUUGUAGGUAUCUCAAAUGCAUCUUAUCAGUUGAUUUUUAUUUAAUUUUACUUUUGCAGCGAUAUUUAACAAGGAAGAUGACAUUGGAACCUACACUAUUAAAGCUGUGGAUGACCCGAGAACCUUGAACAAAAUCCUCUAUAUCAGACCUCCUGGCAACAUAUAUUCUUUCAAUGACCUGGUGGCUUUGUGGGAGAGAAAGAUUGACAAAACUCUUGAAAAGAUUUAUGUUCCAGAGGCCCAAGUUCUGAAGAACAUUCAGGGUAAGUGAAAAUUUGCAGUGCCGUAAGACGAAGAUAUUUACUCCAUUUCAAAAUUAGCCAUACAUUUGUAAAAUUAAUAUUUGAAAGUAUAACUUUAUUUUUCAAAACUUAUCCCUAGCCGUGGCUUAAAUUUCAUGUGAAGAACUUUAUGUUAAGUAAUAGCAUUUUAAGUACUGUCUAACAAUAAAAAUGAAUCUCAGUUUGGAACGGACAAAGAAGGGAAACACAUCUCUAAAAAUUUUGGGACAGUUUUGAAGUUAUGAGUUGUAGCAGCAUUGUGGCUAUAUAUUAACAUCAACAAGUUCAUGUUUGUUAAUAAAAUGUUUUUGCAGAAGCCCCAAUUCCAGUCAAUGUGAUAUUAUCCAUCAAUCACUCCGUGUUUGUGAAGGGAGAUCAUACAAACUUCGAGAUCGAACCAUCAUUUGGAGUGGAGGCAUCUGCACUGUAUCCUGAUGUCAAAUACACCACUGUGGACGAGUACCUCAACCAAUUUGUCUGAAAAUAAAACCCCAAGGCUUGUCGUUAAGCAUUUCCUGUUAUCCUCUAUCUUAAAUAAUAAUAAUAAUAAUACUACAGUUAGCUGCGUGUAGUCUGUAAUUACUUUUAUGAGAAUUCAGCGAGUGUACAUGUUGGAGAUGGUAUUGUGUGUUAAUACUCUGUUUUUUGAAACAGGCAACUGUUUCUGCGAGAAUGGAUGAUUUCAUUUUAGUUGCUCUAUAAUGUAUUUUGCUUAUUGAGAGAGUUAUUUAAGAAAUCUUCUGUUUCCUUAAA
rnacentral:lncRNA from 1 species